GUGCCCCGCCAGAGGAGGCCGGGAGGACCAGGAAGCCGGGAGAGCAUGGCCACGCUGCGCCGGCUUCGGGAGGCGCCGCGGCACUUACUGGUUUGCGAGAAAUCCAACUUCGGCAACCACAAGUCGCGCCACCGGCAUCUUGUGCAGACGCACUACUAUAACUACAGGGUUUCAUUUCUCAUUCCUGAAUGUGGGAUACUAUCGGAAGAACUGAAAAACCUGGUCAUGAACGCUGGACCGUAUUACUUUGUGAAUAAUUUACCUCUUCAUGAAUUAAUUACACCUGAAUUCAUCAGUACCUUUAUAAAGAAAGGUUCUUGCUAUGCACUAACAUACAAUACAAAUAUUGAUGAAGAUAAUACUGUUGCCCUGCUACCAAAUGGGAAAUUAAUUUUGUCACUGGAUAAAGACACUUAUGAAGAAACUGGACUUCAGGGUCAUCCAUCUCAGUUUUCUGGCAGAAAAAUUAUGAAAUUUAUUGUUUCCAUUGAUUUGAUGGAAUUAUCCUUAAACUUGGAUUCUAAGAAGUAUGAAAGAAUAUCUUGGUCCUUCAAAGAAAAGAAACCAUUGAAAUUUGAUUUUCUUUUGGCUUGGCAUAAAACAGGUAUGAAGAAUAAAUUAUGUAAUGAUAC
rnacentral:sRNA from 1 species